CCUUGCACAGAUUCUCCUGUACCCAACACUGAAGAUAUAGUUAAAAGAGUACAGAGCUGGCUGUAAUUGGUAAUCAGUUUGCCAGCAGUGGACAUUUUGACAUGGCUGUUAAGUAUUUUACGGAUGCAAUUAAGUACAACCCUGCAGAGUUUAGGCUGUUUGGCAACCCGGUCCUUCUGUUAUGAGAAGAUCCAGGACUAUGAGAAAGCCUUUGGCUGAUGCGGAGUUGGCCCUCAACAUGAGUCCUGGCUGGGUCAAAGGCCUCUACAGAAAAGGCAGAGCUCUGGCAGGGCUGAAGAGAUACGAUGAAGCCGCCCAGGCCUUAAAGGAAGUGCUGCGGUUGGACAGCUCCUGUGCCGAUGCCGCCCAGGAACUUAUGAGGGUCCAGAUAACACAGCUAAUGGUCAGCAACAUGAGG